ACUGAUGUUGUGGAAGACUUUGAUGUUCCAGACUUCGUCGAUAAUUCAGGUCCCACUCAUCAGCUCUCUUCGGAUGCAAAUCCUCUGUUAUAUUUCCUGCUUUUGUUUCCCUUGAGUCUGGUACAGGUACUUGUGGACAACACCAAUUCGUAUGCUGCUCAGAGUGGAGCCCAGGGUUGGACGGAUACCACUAUCGACGAGAUGAAGGCAUUCCUCGGAUUACAAAUUCUGAUGGGGAUUAUUCAGCUUCCCAGAUACACUAUGUAUUGGUCAUCUGAUAAGUUUAUCGAUGUUGAGCUGACCAAUGUCUUCAAACCUUUACCAUGAAACAACUCGGAUCAUAAACUUUUCUAAAUAUUGAGGAAUAUGUUGAAUAUAAAAUGAAAAUACUUUACACCUGCUUAGUGCUCUUCUGGAAUUGGCAGUGUAACAUUGGUUUUCAAGAAACGCUGAGUUUGAAAAGAUUUGAAAAGCUCACUCGGUAUUUCCAUCUAAGUGAUAAUACUACUCAGGGAGCCAGAGGAACACCUGAAUUUGACAGAUUACACAAAAUAAGACCUGUACUUGAUGAGACGAGAAGGACAUUCCGGAGUCAGAUGAAUCCACCUAAGCAACAGGCUAUUGACGAGGGCAUGGUUAAGUACAAAGGGAG